CGAUUAAGCGAGAAAGGGCGCACGGUGGAUGCCUAGGCGCCAGGAGCCGACGAAGGACGGGGCGAACACCGAAAUGCCUCGGGGAGCCGUAAGCAGGCGUAGAUCCGGGGAUGUCCGAAUGGGGGAACCCGCUCUCUUUCAUAGGAGAGCAUCCGUUGCUGAAUGCAUAGGCAGCGGAGGGCAACCAGGGGAACUGAAACAUCUUAGUACCCUGAGGAAAAGAAAGCAAGGCGGGCCCCGCGAAAGGGAACCUUUCGUGGGUGCUCAAAGCGAUUUCCUGAGUAGCGGCGAGCGAAACGGAAACAGCCCAAACCCGGCACUCAACUGAGAUCCACAAGACGCAUUUAUCAUAUGCGUAGUGGGUUUGAGUUGAGUGCCGGGGGUUGUGGGGCGUCUCAUAAGGAGUGAGAAACGGACGGGAUAGCCGAAGCGGCCUGGAACGGCCCAUCAGAGAAGGUAAGAAUCCUGUAGGCGAAAUUCUGUCCGCUCCGAGACGGACCCCGAGUACCGCGGGGCACGGGGAACCCCGUGGGAAGCAGGGAGGCCCACCUCCCAAGGCUAAAUACUCCCUGGCGACCGAUAGCGCACCAGUACCGUGAGGGAAAGGUGAAAAGCACCCCGGGAGGGGAGUGAAAGAGAACCUGAAACCGUGUGCCUACAAGCAGUCGGAGUCCGGGUAAUCUGGAUGACGGCGUACCUUUUGUAGAAUGGACCGGCGAGUGACGAUGCGUAGCGAGGUUAAGCGGGAGACGCGGAGCCGUAGCGAAAGCGAGUCUGAAGAGGGCGAUUUUAGUUGCGCGUCGUCGACCCGAAACCGAGUGAUCUACCCAUGUCCAGGGUGAAGGUCGGGUAACACCGACUGGAGGCCCGCACCCACGUCUGUUGAAAAAGGCGGGGAUGAGGGGUGGGUAGGGGUGAAAUGCCAAUCGAACUCGGAGAUAGCUGGUUCUCCCCGAAAUAGCUUUAGGGCUAGCCUCAGGGGAAGAAUCGCGGAGGUAGAGCACUGAUUGCGUGAGGGGCCCUCGACGGGUUACCGAUCGCAGUCAAACUCCGAAUGCCGUUGAUUCGGUUCCUGGGAGUCAGACGUCGGGUGCUAAGAUUCGACGUCGAGAGGGGAACAACCCAGACCAUCAGCUAAGGUCCCGAAGUAUCCGUUAAGUGGGAAAGGAUGUGGCGUUGCCGAGACAACCAGGAUGUUGGCUUAGAAGCAGCCAUCAUUGAAAGAGUGCGUAAAAGCUCACUGGUCAAGUGACGUCGCGCCGAAAAUGUACCGGGGCUAAACGGAUCACCGAAGCUAUGGGCGGGACACCGUGGUAGGGGAGCGUACCCAGUGCAGCGAAGGAUUUCCGGGAGGGAAUGUGGAGCGCUGGGUAGUGAGAAUGCCGGUAUGAGUAACGAUAAGAGGGGUGAGAAUCCCCUCCGCCGAAAGCCUAAGGGUUCCUGAGGAAGGUUCGUCCGCUCAGGGUAAGUCGGGACCUAAGCCGAGGCUGAAGAGCGUAGGCGAUGGAGAACAGGUGGAGAUUCCUGUACCACCGCGUUCCGAUUGAGCGAAGGGGGGACGCAGGAGGGCAGGGGAGCAGGCGGAUGGAUGUGCCUGUCCAAGCGGUGAGAGAGCAGCGCGAGGCAAAUCCCGCGUUGCGAGGAUCUUGAGCCGUGAUGGGGAGUGAAACUUAGAGUAGCGAAGUCCCUGCACCCACACUGACAAGAAAAGCCUCUAGCGAGGAGCGCGGUGCCCGUACCGCAAACCGACACAGGUAGGCGAGGAGAGGAUCCUAAGGCGCACGGGAGAACUCUCGUUAAGGAACUCGGCAAAAUGGCCCCGUAACUUUGGGAGAAGGGGUGCCCCGUUAGGGUGGCCGAGAGGUUGCCUGAGGGGGCCGCAGUGAAGAGGUCCAAGCGACUGUUUAGCAAAAACACAGGUCUCUGCGAAGCCGCAAGGCGACGUAUAGGGGCUGACGCCUGCCCGGUGCUGGAAGGUUAAGGGGAGGACUUAGCGGAAGCGAAGGUCUGAACCGAAGCCCCAGUAAACGGCGGCCGUAACUAUAACGGUCCUAAGGUAGCGAAAUUCCUUGUCGGGUAAGUUCCGACCCGCACGAAAGGCGUAACGACUUGGACACUGUCUCAACGAGAGGCCCGGUGAAAUUGUAGUAUGCGUGAAGAUGCGCAUUACCCACGACAAGACGGAAAGACCCCGUGGAGCUUGACUGCAGCCUGAUAGUGGAUUUGGCGAUGAUGUGUACAGGAUAGGUGGGAGCCAGAGAAAUCGGUUCGCCAGGAUCGAGGGAGGCGCCGGUGGGAUACCACCCUCAUCAUGGUUAAAUCCUAACCGACCGCCGUGAGCCGGUGGCGGGACAUUGUCAGGUGGGCAGUUUGACUGGGGCGGUCGCCUCCUAAAAGGUAACGGAGGCGCUCGAAGGUUCCCUCAGCGCGGUUGGACAUCGCGUGAGGAGUGUAAAGGCAGAAGGGAGCUUGACUGCGAGACUGACAGGUCGAGCAGGGACGAAAGUCGGACUUAGUGAUCCGGUGGUUCUGAGUGGAAGGGCCAUCGCUCAACGGAUAAAAGCUACCCCGGGGAUAACAGGCUUAUCUCCCCCAAGAGUCCACAUCGACGGGGAGGUUUGGCACCUCGAUGUCGGCUCAUCGCAUCCUGGGGCUGAAGCAGGUCCCAAGGGUUGGGCUGUUCGCCCAUUAAAGCGGUACGCGAGCUGGGUUCAGAACGUCGUGAGACAGUUCGGUCCCUAUCUGUCGUGGGCGCAGGAAAUCUGAAGAGGAGCCGUCCUUAGUACGAGAGGACCGGGACGGACACACCGCUGGUGGACCAGUUGUUCUGCCAAGGGCAUCGCUGGGUAGCCACGUGUGGCCGGGAUAAGCGCUGAAAGCAUCUAAGCGUGAAGCCCCCCUCAAGAUGAGAUUUCCCACCAGGCACUCAGGUGCUUGGGUAAGACCCCUUGGAGAAGACGAGGUGGAUCGGUCCGAGGUGUAAGCGUGGUAACACGUUGAGCUGACGGAUACGAAUCGGUCGAGGGCUUAAUCGA
rnacentral:rRNA from 1 species